AGCUACGACGAGUCUCACCAAGAGGACUUCUGCUGUAUCCAAAUCCCCGUCGCCCUCAAAUAACUUGCGGUGAAAUAGUCCCUAAAUAGCUCGAGUGGGCGUGCAAACAGGAACUAUUCCACCGCAACUUCGAUGCGACAAAGGAGCAGUCCCUUUAUCGCAUUCCGUGCGAGCUCCAGCGCCAUCUGCGGGUAUAAGGCUAACAAGUGUUUAUUUGCGAGGCCUAAGGGGCGCCCCGUAUGGAUAUCGAUAACUUUGAAUGGUGGUAUAGCGAGGGCGAGGCUCCGGACGAAGCGACUGAGCGAAGCGAGUGAGCCCGAGGUCCCUAGAAAAACCCCUAGGCAGGCGCGUGCGCGCCCGUACCGCAAACCGACACAGGUGGGUGGGUAGAACAUACCGAGGCGAUCGGGUCAACCAUGGUCAAGGAACUCGGCACAAUGGCCCCGUAACUUCGGGAGAAGGGGUGCCCGCGCGUACGUGAACCGGCUUGCCCGGGGAGCGGAGGCGGGCCGCAGUGGAGAGGCCCAAGCGACUGUUUACCAAAAACACAGGACUCUGCAGAAGCCGCAAGGCGACGUAUAGGGUCUGACGCCUGCCCGGUGCCGGAAGGUCACGCGGAGGAGUUAGCCGAUUCGGCGAAGCCCCGAAGCCAAGCCCCGGUAAACGGCGGCCGUAACUAUAACGGUCCUAAGGUAGCGAAAUUCCUUGUCGGGUAAGUUCCGACCUGCACGAAAGGCGCAACGACUUGGGCGCUGUCUCGACCAUGGACCCGGUGAAAUUGCACUGGUCGUGAAGAUGCGACUUACCCGCGGAAGGACGGAAAGACCCCGUGAACCUUCACUGCAGCUUGGCAUUGGCCGCUGGUCCCGCGUGUAGAGGAUAGGCAGGAGGCACAGAUCCGGAGGCGCCAGCCCCCGGGGAGCCGCCCUUGGAAUACUGCCCUCGCGCGACCGGCGUCCUAACCCGAGGCCGUCAACCGGCUCGGGGACCGUGCCAGGCGGGCAGUUUGACUGGGGCGGUCGCCUCCUAAAGGGUAACGGAGGCGCGCGAAGGUCCGCUCGGGACGGUCGGCAACCGUCCUUUUGAAUGCAAGAGUACAAGCGGGCUUGACUGCGAGGCCCACAAGCCGAGCAGGUGCGAAAGCAGGCUCUAGUGAUCCGGCGGCCCCGAGUGGGUGGGCCGUCGCUCAACGGAUAAAAGGUACUCCGGGGAUAACAGGCUGAUCUUGCCCAAGAGUCCACAUCGACGGCAAGGUUUGGCACCUCGAUGUCGGCUCAUCGCAUCCUGGGGCUGGAGCAGGUCCCAAGGGUACGGCUGUUCGC
rnacentral:rRNA from 1 species